rnacentral:rRNA from 1 species
AUUGAACGCUGGCGGCAGGCUUAACACAUGCAAGUCGAGCGAGCGGCGGACGGGUGAGUAAUGUCUGGGAAACUGCCUGAUCGAGGGGGAUAACUACUGGAAACGGUAGCUAAUACCGCAUACCAUCAGAUGUGCCCAGAUGGGCUUAGCUAGUAGGUUGGGUAAUGGCUCACCUAGGCGCCGAUCCCUAGCUGGUCUGAGAGGAUGACCGACGAGCCGGAAACUGAGACGCGGCCCAGAGUCCUACGAUGGCCAGGAGUGGGGAAUAGUGCACAAUGGAGGCAAGCCUGAUGAAGCCCAGCCGAGUGUGUUGAGAAUGCCUUCGGGUUGGAAAGCACUUUCAGCGGGGAGGCGUUACUGGCACAAGAAGCACCGGCUAACUCCGUGCCAGCAGCCGCGGUAAUUC